GGGGAAUUUUCCGCAAUGGGCGAAAGCCUGACGGAGCCAUACCGCGUGUAGGAUGACACCCCUCGGGGCGUAAACUACUUUUCUGAAGGAAGACAUUCUGACGGUACUUCAGGAAUAAGCGUCGGCUAACUACGUGCCAGCAGCCGCGGUAAUACGUAGGACGCAAGCGUUAUUCGGAAUCACUGGGCGUAAAGCGAUCGAAGGCGGAUCAGUAAGCGAGGUGUUAAAUACCCACGGCUCAACCGGGGUGCUGCAUUUCGAACUGCUGGACUAGAGGAAUGCAGAGGUAGCUGGAAUUCUUGUUGUAGGGGUUAAAUCCGUAGAUAACAAGAGGAACACCAAAAGCGAAGGCAGGCUACUGGGCAUUUUCUGACGCUGCGCGAUCGAAAGCGUGGGGAGCGAAAGGGAUUAGAUACCCCUGUAGUC
rnacentral:rRNA from 1 species